rnacentral:rRNA from 1 species
UACGUAGGCAGCGAGCGUUGUUCGGAGUUACUGGGCGUAAAGAGUGCGUAGGCGGUGCUCCAAGUCUGGUGUGAAAUCUCCCGGCUUAACCGGGAGGGUGCGCCGGAAACUGGGGUGCUGGAGUGUGGGAGAGGUAAGCGGAAUUCCCGGUGUAGCGGUGAAAUGCGUAGAUAUUGGGAAGAACACCAGCGGCGAAAGCGCGCUACUGGGCCAUUACUGACACUCAUGGACGAAAGCUAGGGGAGCGAAAGGG